UUUUAUAUAUCUAUUUGCGCGUCAUCAUUGAGCGUGUUAGAAGCCUUCCUUUCUCCCUUGCGCCACUCAUGUUGAUGCUCUAAAGCCUGCCACCUGCUUGUCAUGUCCCCCACUCAUAUCUCUUGGCCCCCACUCAUAACUUGUGUCCUUUGGCU